rnacentral:rRNA from 1 species
CUGGCUCAGGAUGAACGCUGGCGGCGUGCUUAACACAUGCAAGUCGAGCGAAGCAGUUAAGUUGAUUUCUUCGGAUUGAUUCUUAACUGACUGAGCGGCGGACGGGUGAGUAACGCGUGGGUGACCUGCCCCAUACCGGGGGAUAACAGCUGGAAACGGCUGCUAAUACCGCAUAAGCGCACAGAGCUGCAUGGCUCGGUGUGAAAAACUCCGGUGGUAUGGGAUGGGCCCGCGUCUGAUUAGGCAGUUGGCGGGGUAACGGCCCACCAAACCGACGAUCAGUAGCCGGCCUGAGAGGGCGACCGGCCACAUUGGGACUGAGACACGGCCCAAACUCCUACGGGAGGCAGCAGUGGGGAAUAUUGCACAAUGGGGGAAACCCUGAUGCAGCGACGCCGCGUGAGCGAAGAAGUAUUUCGGUAUGUAAAGCUCUAUCAGCAGGGAAGAUAAUGACGGUACCUGACUAAGAAGCCCCGGCUAACUACGUGCCAGCAGCCGCGGUAAUACGUAGGGGGCAAGCGUUAUCCGGAUUUACUGGGUGUAAAGGGAGCGUAGACGGCAAGGCAAGUCUGAUGUGAAAACCCAGGGCUUAACCCUGGGACUGCAUUGGAAACUGUCUGGCUCGAGUGCCGGAGAGGUAAGCGGAAUUCCUAGUGUAGCGGUGAAAUGCGUAGAUAUUAGGAAGAACACCAGUGGCGAAGGCGGCUUACUGGACGGUAACUGACGUUGAGGCUCGAAAGCGUGGGGAGCAAACAGGAUUAGAUACCCUGGUAGUCCACGCC